rnacentral:lncRNA from 1 species
GGCUAAGCGAGUUCCAGCUGGAGGGCUACACUGCCCACUUUCUGCAGGCCGGCUAUGAUGUGCCUACCAUCAGCCGCAUGACACCUGAGGACCUGACGGCCAUCGGGGUGACCAAGCCUGGGCACAGGAAGAAGAUCGCCUCAGAGAUCGCUCAGCUCAGCAUCGCCGAGUGGCUGCCCAGCUACAUCCCAGUGAGCCAUCAAGGGUGGCUGGGGAGUGGGGCACGUGCUGUCACCCUCAGCUGUGGCUUUGCGGUGCCUUUUCUCCUCUGGCUGGGGGCGGAGGCUGGCUGGGAGUUGUUCUGAGGACGGUGCUCUUCCAGACGGACCUGCUGGAGUGGCUGUGUGCACUGGGGCUGCCACAGUACCACAAGCAGCUGGUGAGCAGCGGCUACGACUCCAUGGGGCUGGUGGCCGACCUCACCUGGGAGGAGCUGCAGGAGAUUGGGGUCAACAAGCUCGGGCAUCAGAAGAAGCUCAUGCUGGGGGUGAAGCGGCUGGCGGAGCUUCGGCGGGGCCUGCUGCAGGGGGAGGCCCUCAGCGAAGGCGGGCGCCGGCUGGCCAAGGGUCCGGAGCUGAUGGCCAUCGAGGGACUGGAGAACGGAGAAGGCCCAGCUACAGCUGGCC